rnacentral:rRNA from 1 species
GACAGAGGUGCCAAGCGUUAUGCGGAAUCACUGGGCUUAAAGCGUGUGUAGGCGGGUCGUUAAGUACCUUUUGAAAUCCCCCGGCUCAACCGGGGAACGGCUGGGUAUACUGGCGAUCUUGAGCGACCUAGGGGCAGUCGGAACAAGUGGUGGAGCGGUGAAAUGCGUAGAUAUCAUUUGGAACGCCAACGGAGAAAUCAGGUAGCUGGGGGUGUGCUGACGCUGAGACACGAAAGCCAGGGGAGCGAACGGG